GACACGAACUUGGAGUAGAGUAGAUUAGUAGGGUCAGCUAAUACUACUAAUCUACUCUACGUCAAGUUUGUGCCC
rfam:Haemonchus placei strain MHpl1 genome assembly, scaffold: HPLM_scaffold0002747